rnacentral:tRNA from 1 species
ACAGUCAUCGACUAGCGGUCUAGGUCGCUACCCUCUCAAGGUGGAAACACCAGUUCAAAUCUGGUUGGCUGUA